rnacentral:rRNA from 1 species
AUUGAACGCUAGCGGGAUGCUUUACACAUGCAAGUCGAACGAGGGGCGGACGGGUGAGAAAUAUAUCGGACCGUGCCCAGUAGCGGGGGAUAACUACUCGAAAGAGUGGCUAAAACCGCAUACUAUUGGCGCGGCCGAUAUCGGAUUAGCUAGUUGGUGGGGUAAAGGCUCACCAAGGCAAAGAUCCGUAGCUGGUUUGAGAGGACGACCAGCCACACUGGGACUGAGACACGGCCCAGACUCCUACGGGAGGCAGCAGUGGGGAAUUUUGGACAAUGGGGGAAAGCCUGAUCCAGCCAUCCCGCGUGUGUGAGAAGGCCUUCGGGUUGUAAAGUACUUUUGGCAGGGAAGCGGUAUCUGCAGAAUAAGCACCGGCUAACUACGUGCCAGCAGCCGCGGUAAUUC